GUGCUCACUUUGGUAGCACAUACACUAAAACUGGAACAAUACAGAGAAGAUUAGCAAGGCCCCUGUGCAAGGGCGAUGUGCAAAUUCAUGAAGUGUCCCAUAUUUUU
rnacentral:snRNA from 1 species